rnacentral:lncRNA from 1 species
GCGUCUUUGAAAAUUUGAUGCCCACGAUUGCAUCAAAUUCGAGUUUUAAAGUGGCUCACGGAGGUGACGAAAAAGUGUGCUACGACUUUCUCCGUUCUUGACCAACGGUUUUUCGAUCCAUCGUGGUGCACGAUAGGAGGUCAACGGAUGAACUCCAAUCGCUGGAUAACGAGAUAUCUAUACCUCAUAUCGAUACAGUUACCCGUUUUAGCACAUUAAAUAUCCGUCAAAUUUCCAGAAGCGAGUGCAGAGAAAAAGAAUGCGGAAAGGAAUGCACGGAGGAUCACGUUUGUUCUUAAGUGACGUCAACGCUACAUUCUCUCCUCCAAUAACUCAGAAACACACUUUCUCCGGUGUUACGAUGUAACAGACGAAUAGAGAUCCACAAUUAUCGCACGAAACGCGCAAUAAGUAUACGUGACUUUCAAUAUCAUGAAUGGAUUAGAAUUCCCGAUUUCGCAAGCCAAGCAUGUACACAUAAUAGUUCUCGCAAUUACGAGCGUAGAAUUGUGUCAUCAUUUAAACAACCUUCGUUGAUUGCAUCACUUUACUUUAUUACAAACCGUGCAAUAAUUAUCAUACGAUUCGUUAUACCGUUUAAAGAUACAAAAAAUAUGGCGUUUCGAUAAAUUGUAUCGUUUGUUUGUGUAAAUUAGUCUAAUGUAAACGAUACAGUCUUCCAGUUUGUAUUAGGUAAACCAUAGCGCUCAAUCGUUAUUCUAAUGUUAUACAAUAUGCAGUCGCUAUGUUUGGAGUAAAUAAUGGAUGCUUUUACAAAGACUGCAAUAAGACCUUCGAUGAAAACGUCUUUAAAGAAUGACUGAUUCAUCGUUCGGUAUAUAUAGUAGGUCGUGUCGAAAUAAGUCUACGACAUACUUUACGUAUAGCUUUUUCCAUACCGUUGCUCGUUUAAAAAAUCGCUAUGUAUCCGUUAUAAAUCCAAUGUAAGAAACUGCCGAUCAAAUGCAUCCCUACUACACCACACACAA